rnacentral:misc_RNA from 1 species
GGGUCUUACUUUCUAAUAAGGGAAAAGAAAAAUGAACUCAGAUCACAUCGUUAGAUGUGUCUCAGAUGCUAGAAUGCACCAUUGCAUUCUAGACAAUGAGUCUUGGAAUGCAGAUCUAAUAUGCCUCCUAAUAAAACUUUGGGCCAUGAUGGCUGCAAUCCUAGGAAACUGACAUUAAACAAGAGAAGAAAAGAAAGGGCUAGACCAUUUUCUGUAGGUGAGAUGGUUCAGAGAGGUUUGUUAUAGACUUUGGAGGAGGGCUCUUCUGCAAAGGGGCGGUUGAGAAGGAUUGAUGCUUGGAUUGGGACAAGGAGACUCCACUCCAAGUGUUUUUAAUAGGAAGUUCCUUUCACUUUCUGAAAAUGAAAAUUUUGGGCUGGGAAUCCCUGCUGCUAAUGAUCUGAAAAGUGGAGUAACUUGAAUGGGUGAACUGAACUCUGUACUUGAUGAGGCAGAAACAACUGUGUCAUCGUGGGCUUGCUGAUCAAAAGAUGGAAAUAUCACCCCUUGAGUUAUGUUUGCACACGAAAUAGAUUCUUUCUCGCAUUCAUCCACAUCUCUUUGCUCUUUCACAUGAACUGAUUGUAAUUCAAUUGGAAAGUCCUCAUGCAGCGCACCAAUCUCAACCUGAGUUUGUUCUGUUUUGUCAGGAGCUGUGCAAGGCAUUAGAGUUGAUCCUGUACUGUAUUCGGAGCUGGCUGGAGACUCCUCAUAUAGAUCAGGUUGCCUCCAAGAUGGUCGACUCCCAUCAUUACUACUCCUUAAAUCCUCUAUAAAGUCUUUAAAGUCUUCAAGUUGAAAAUCGAUGUCAGUGAAUCUGUAUCUGAGGAUAUCAUUUUCUUUCUGAUUCAAGAAGUCUUGAAGGACCUUCCAUGCAUUUUCUAGACUCUGGUC